rnacentral:lncRNA from 1 species
CUGUUGAUAGCAGGAAUCUCAUACUCCACAACAAUGCAAAAAGCAAAAUCUAGAAAUGUAGAAAUAAACCAACGUGGAAGGAGCAUAUCAGCAUUUAGUGAAGAUCCUUGGCUUUGAAAGCUGAACCACUCUGGAGUUUCACUUCCAGAUAAAGUGAGAUCAAAAAGAAGAAAAGGGUUUGUAUUAUAUCGACUCAUUCUGACAUUAUUCCUCUGCUUGAUAACAGGAAAAAAAGAAAGACAAAUUAGAUAUUUAUAUAUAUUAUUUACUUGGAUUCUGGGAAUGAAAAAAGACAGAUGAAGAGGCUCAAAUGCUUACCCAACAAAUAGCUAAUUCUUUAAUUCUCAACUCAGCAUCUCCCAUGAUAUUGCCACGUGCAUUUUGAUCCAAAUUGAAGCAGUUCAUAAAAUCAAAUUUGAAAGAAUACGGUUCAGGCUUUAUGGGUAAAAUGCAUGAAGUUCAUGCUGCAGUUUUCAGCAACAUACAGUUUUUUACUUCAAGUACUUGUAAUUGGCUUGGAAGCUCUGGCAGACCUUUGAGUUUAUUGCAGUCGUUUAGAUACAACAUUUUCAACGAUGAUAAACAGACUAUGUCACUGGGUAUUUCUACAAGUGCAGUGCGGUCUAGACGAAGUUCUCUUAAAGAGCACAAACCAUGUAAAUCAGGCAGUUUGCCAAGCUUUGAACAGUCACUAAGAUUAACAAUUGUAAGGGAUUUCAAUUGACAAAUGCUGCUCGAUAGACUCUUGAGCCUUUUACACCCUUCCAUAACUAACUCACGAAGAGAAGAGAGACGCAAAAUUGUUGAUGACAAAUCUUCUAUCAUAGUAUAACUUAAAUCUAACCGUGUUAUAUUAUUUCCUAUAUUCUCUGGGAACUUACUAAGACUUGAACAACCCUUAAGACUAAGUACCCUAAUAGAAUUCAAACAAUCACUACUUGGAAGACUUCUAAGGUUUUUGCAGUUCUGUACCUCUAUGACUUGAAGAUUGCAGAAAAGUCCAUCCUCUUGGAACCACUCUUCUAACCCACAUUGCCCUAAUAAUAACAUCUUUAGUCCUCUUGGAACAUCAACAAGCAUCUGCAAAUUUGAGCACCAUGAAAGAUUAAGAAUCCAAAGAGAGCCCAACUGAGCAAGUCUUGGAAGACUCCUCAGCUUCUCACAACCUCUCAGAUCAAGAGCAUCAAGGUUGUGCAGACACUGAAUGGAUGAGGGAAUUUGGCUCAAGGUUUUACAAUUUGAAAGACAAAUCCUCUCUAGGUUUGGAGCCGAAGAGAGAUCCGGGAGUGUUUCCAAGUACUCGCUUUCAGAAAGAUCAAGAUAUUUUAACCUUUGAGGACACUGCACAUUAAACCAAUUUCUUUUUAAAUGUCAAUUGUUAAAAGAAAAAAAACUCACACACAAUAUUUUGUAUUAAUAUAGAAUAAAAUAUAUCAUUUAACUAUUAACCUCUAAUAGUGUAUAGUACAACCUGUACAAUAGCAAAUUAUAUACUUAAAUCAUACCUUAUUUCCAUUCCAUAGUUGCUUGACCUUGCUCCCUUUCAUGUUAAGUUCAACAACAUUUUUCAUGAAAAAAUUUGAUGGCAAAGAUUUGUAAGGGUAGUCUUCCCAAUGGAAUAAACUUAUCUUAUUAGGGAGAAACUGAAGCUCUUUCGUCUGACCAAGUUCAAAUAUAGAAUCUGUGUUUGUGUCCUUUAUGCGAGGGCAAGACCUAUAAAACGGAAUCAAACGUCAAAGAUGAGUUAAAUAUUAUAUUAAACAUUAAUGGUGUUGUACCAAUUUAACCAUUUUUUUUUACAAUGCCUAUUUUACCCUUCUUCUUUGUAUCGGUCACUUGCAGACAAAACGCUACUUCACAGUCUCUAAAUUCCAGCGACCACAAUCUCUUCGUUUUCCACGCGGACUUCACCUUCUCUUCUUUUCUAUUUCUAUGAACUACUUCUAGAUUAUACGUCCUUUUUUUUUGGUAAUGUUCUUUUUUUAUUUGCAUUUAAUUCUCUUUUUAAUUUGUAUUGUUUUCUUUUUUCUUCUGUAAGAAACUUAAAAACACUUGGGGCAGAGAUUUCGGGUUUCCUUCUUUUCACAAUGAAAUUGAAAUUAGAGAAAUCAAUUUUUUUCUUUUGCUUUGCAUGAAACCCAUCUCUACAUUUCUUGCUAGAUUUUAUAUUUGAAAUUACUGCAUAUCCUCAAUAUGUUCCUAUUCAUUGAUUCUCACUUAAUUAGAUUCUUUGAAUACUUAUAUUUAAUUUUUCUUUGUUGUAUCUUGAUGCAUUUGAUGGCCUAGAAAUGAGAAAAUUUUAAUCUUGAACUCACACUAAGGAAGCUUAGACCUAAAUUUUAGUAUUCAGGGUUUUAAUUAUCUAAAUUAUUUGUUAUGGUUUGAAAUUAUAAGUGUAUGUUUGUUUGGUAGAUUUCUGUUUGAGGAUUUGAUAUUUGUAGUGAAAGUCUGUUUUGUUUGGCUAUUGAAGAUUUUUUCUUGAGCUUUUUAUGACUGGAGAUAAUUAGAUUUGUUAUUUCUUCUAAUUGGGUAGUUAGGCAACAAAUUAUACAAAGUUUACACAAAUCAUGCCUAGAGACAUGUUGCUUGAACUGCAGAAAUUAGGAGCAGCAGCAGUUUCGUGCCUCCCAAAAACAAAAAAGUAAGUGAUGUAAAAAACAAAAUUAAAAAAGAUGAAAUUUUUAUGCUUUAAAUAAUGAAAAAUAAGGUCCAUGACAAUAUUGGUUGCUGCAUCUUUUGCUUUCUCUUUCAUAUUUCUUUAGUAUAUACUAUCUUUGCUAACUCUAGACUUGGCAGUGUUUAUGCCAUUCAUGUUGUUACUGUUGUUGUGAUAUUUAAGAAGCAUAGUACACUCUUUGUUUCUUUGAUUAUCACAAUCCAGGUAUUCUUUUAAGAUCAAACCAGCUGUUAAAAGCAUUGAGGUAUUCUCUCUCUGUCUCUGAAACGUAUUUGGUUUCUAAGAAACUGGAAAAAAGUGAAAGAAAGUUUGUUUUGACAUUGGAGUUCUUUGUUUUUUUUGUUGGAUUUUGGUUGCCAAAAGGUUUAAGCCUGACAGUGGUUCCACUGGAAGUGUUUAUAUGGCAAAUUUGUUUUGGGUUUUUGAAGUUAUAGUUCAAAUAAUAAAUAUUUUAAAUUUGAUUUCAUAUUCUUUUGAUUUCCUGCAUUUUCUUAUCAAUCAAAUGGGUAUUCCUUCAACUUUUUUUGUUCUAUAAUGUCCAUCAAUUUUUUUUUUUUUUAUAAUCUUUAGCUAAAAAUUUAGAUUUCUAAAGAAUCAAUGAUUCUCUCAUUGUUACCUUCCUCUCCUCUCUGUCCCUCCCUCUGCAAUUAUUUCUUUUUGGGUAGUUAUUGAAGAGAUAAAGAAGGCAACUAAAAUAUGUGUUUUCAAUAUAGUCAAAUAGAACUGAAAUGCUAAUGACAUCUCCCAUUAUUUAUUUUGUUCUUCUGCUUUUUUUUUUAAAUCUGAUAUUUUUUGUUUGUACAUAGUUGAAGACAUCAAGAUCACUCAUGACCUUAAACAUGAUUUCAUAAUUUAUUUGAAUGAAAAACUUUUACGUUAUAAUUCUGGAAAUCUUAUUUUUUUUCAUGGCUAUGCAGAGUCUAGAUGUGGAUAUCAUAGACUGUGUUCACAUGACUCAUCAACUAGCUUUUGAUCAUGCUUUCCUUGACCACAAGAUUCACGUCCAUCUCCUCCUAUAUGUUUCUACUUUUAGCUAUUUUUAGUGUUUUUCUUUGUUGUUAUCAAUUUUUUUUAUGGAUAAGCUUAUUAAACUGUAUCAGCAUUCUUAAGCAAAUUAUAAUACUUGCUGAGCACUAAUUUCUUUGAAUUUCUAUCCAUUCUAUGUAUUUCUUCAAUGAUAAAACUAUAAUAUAUCGAAAAAAUUGUGACUAAGUAGUUUAAAUUAUUUUUUUAUAGUUAGAAUACCAAAAGCUUUUUCUUUGAUAGGAAAAACUUCAAAAUCUAAAGGUAUAAAAAUGAGUCUUUUUGUACAAAUUUAGUAAUUUUUUUAAUAAGAAAUAGUGAAACAAAAAAAAUCUAUGAAAUGAAUAUUUUUUUUUUCAGUGAAAAAAUAUAUAAAAAUUUGAGUAAACAAUAAAUAGUAAUUAUAUCAAUAAAAUUAGUGGUUAUAUCGAUGAAAUUAAUUUUAAUCCGCAGCAAAGCCCGGGUAAGUUUGCUUGUUUAACACUAAUUUGCAUGUUGUCCUUCUCGUUAUAAUUUUUAAUUAUAUUUAGUUCAUAUUUAUUAUUAUAUAUCUUAUAACACUACCAUUUACAAUGAUUAUUAUAUACUCUAUAUUAUUGACAGCAAUUACAAUGAUUAUUAUAUAUUUUGUACUACUAACAGCAGUUACAAUACUCGUGAGUUUAUUAAAAAGCAGUAUAGUCCAUUAUCAAAUCCAUUAACGUACGUUACAGCCCAUAAGGAAAAAAAAAUAUAUAAAUGAUACUUAAAUCAUUGCAUAUUGAAAGCAUCACCCUACACUCCUUAAUUAUUAUAUAUUCUGCUAUUUAUUAUACUUCUUUAUGUAAAAAUUAUUUUUUAAUAAUAUAAAUAAUUAAUUUAUAUUAUUAAAAAACUAAAAGUAUUAUGUUAUUAAAUGACUUAUAAAAGUAGGAUAAAGGAUAUUGCGUUCUUUUUUAUAGACAUUUAAUAGCAAGAAGUAUACAUUCUUGAAGGACUUAUUUACUCAGCGGCCCAAAAGUACGGGGAGAGCAAGCAAUAUACUUUUCAAACACAACAACUGAAUAGUUAUUCUCGCUCAACCAAAGGAAAAAAAAAAAAAAAGUAAUUAUUUUAUAUAAUAUAUAGUGUUUAGAGAUAAUAUUUUUAUAAAUAAUAUAAAAAUAUUAAGUGUCAUUCAAGAGCCUUAAACAAAGUCACUUAAGAAAAUAUUUUUUUUUAAAUUUAAUUUAUUUAUCAUUUUAGAAAAUUAUAAUAUUACUUCUGUUCUACAAUACUUAUCACAUUUGAGAAAAUAAUUUAUUCUAAAAUACUUAUCACAUUUGUGGUUUCAAGGAGCAAUAAAUCUUUUUUUUUUUCAUGUUAACCCUUUAUACAUGAUCAGUAAUUAUUACUUUAAUUUAAUUAUUUUUUUAAAAAAUUAGUAUUAAAUGUAGGGUAAUUGUAACAUCCCAGGCUCUACCGAGAUAUUGUCCGCUUUGGGCCCCAGGCCCGCACGGUUUUGUUCCUGGGCCUGCCACAACUUAUGUACAUCACUUCCACCUUGUGCUUAGCCGAUGUGGGAUUUGCCUAAGGUGUCACAUACACCCCCCCUUUAGGGACUCAGCGUCCUCGCUGAGAUUUGCCCCACCACCAGCCAUAGGGACAAGGCUUGGCUCUGAUACCAAGUUUGUAACAUCCCAGGCUCUACCGAGAUAUUGUCUGCUUUGGGCCCCAGGCCCGCACGGUUUUGUUCCUGGCCAGGGAACCACCUCCUAGCCCAAAACGCGUCUCGGGAACUCAAGGCCUGCCACAACUUAUGUACAUCACUUCCACCUUGUGCUUAGCCGAUGUGGGAUUCGCCUAAGGUGUCACAGUAAUAUAGUCAAUUUACUCAAUAAUUUAUUGUAACUUAGACAAAAUAGUUUUCUUAAGGGACAUGAAAUUAAGUAUUAUGAAAUAGAAGUAGUAAUCCCAUUGUUAAUCAAAGUUAAAUUUGAAAACUGUAUUAUUCUUCAAUAUCUGUAUGUGUUAACAAUUCUUGUAAAUUAUUGAAUCUUUUCUUUUCCCUUUUUUGAAACUACUCCUUUUGUCUCAAAUUAUAAGUUGUUUUUGGCUUAUUAUUUUGUCUCAAAAUAUAAAUCGUUUUGAGUAAUUUACAUUAGAUACAAUAAAUAUUUUUACAAGUGACUCAUUUUUUUUAAAUGACUAUUCACAAGUGAAUGAUGACUUAUUUAUAGUAAACGAUGACUAUUCACAAGUGACUAUUGGUUUAAUGAAACGACCCAAAAAUUUAAUUUCGUAGAAUUUUUAUUUAAAAACUAAAUUUUAAAUUUGACUAAUGAGAUUAUACGAUAAAAUAUUUUAUUCUUACUAAACUGGACCAGUAAACCAAUUUGAGUUUUUGAAAACCAAGUGAAAAACCUAUAAACCGAGUCAAAUCGCUGAAUUGAACCAAAUCAGUUCCAAUCAAACCGGAAUGGUCUAGAAAUCGCCUUACCUUCUUUCUUUUUCCUCUCUUCUUCUUCUUCUUCUUCUGCGAGGAGCGCGCCGUCCUCCUCUCUCCUCGUUUCCGGCCACCGCUCGACGAAAGCGAGGUGGCGAUCGACUCUCCUAAAGCCGCUGGUCACCACAUCGGUCUUCCGUCACGGCGAACUGGCUGGCAGGAGGCACGGGUCGAGCUGUCUCCUUAGAUAGCUGCUUCUCCUUCAAUUUCCGGUGAUCCCCGCCGUUUUCGAUUGUUGCAGCGUGAAGGAGGAGUGCCUGUCGAUUCAGGCCUUUCCUACGAUCAUCCUCCCUCAGACGAUCCUGGCGAUGGAGCAUGAAGAACGAAACCGCAUGACCAACGACGAGAGGGGACUGUCGGGUCCGUUCCAGCCAGCUAGGGGACUGAUCUCGCGCAACAGACGCCAAAAUCGAACUCCUGACAAAAAACCGAGUCGGAUUGUGUGAAGAGCGCUUGAUUCCAAGCAGCCACGGUUUUUCGGCCAGCGAGUCUCCAGUGAGUCCCAAGAGGCAGAAUUAUCCUCUUCUGAUCACAUCGCGACUGUUCUGGGAGCACAGGAUAGCCGGAGACGGCGCCGGCUAUUGCAGACCUUUCAUAAAGAAAAAAAACGAUUUUGUAAAAUAUGACGCAUUUUACUUUUUAAUCCCUCAUUAUUUUUUAAUUUGUUCAAUUAGGUCCUAUAAUAAAUUUUGAUUGGAUAUAUAAAAAUCAUUGUAAUUCCAUCAAAGUUAAUCAAAAUCCAUAAAAAAAACUCAUCAAUUCCAUAAAACUCAAUGUAGAAUUUUAUUGGAAUCCGUGAAAAUUUUAGAAAAUCUUUCAAUUCCAUCAACAAUUCUUUUAAAACCUAAUACAAUUCUAAUCCAAUACACUCAUCUAAAAGUGCGAAAUCUCAAGCUCGAGUCCUCUCUAUUACAACGGUUUUCACAAAUUUAGUAAAUUAGAAAGCCACAAAAAUUUUAACCAAUUUAAUAAAUUAAGGGAAGAGCUAUCUUAUAUAUAUAAACAAUCCAUAAAAAACUAUAAAUAAUAAAUAAUAUUUUUAAAUACAGAGGACAUUUCCUUAAAAGCGCGCCCUUGAUAAAAUUUAAUAACCAACUCCUGUUAUCAAUUCAACAUUUUCAAUCGAUAUCCUCACAACAAUACUUUUAAAAGACUUUGGAAUCAAAAUACUGUUUAGAUUAAUGCAAUAUAACGUUUUAAAGAGUUUAACUAGAGAUCAAGGAAUUAAAUAUUAAAUACAAUUCUGUUAUUUCAAAGAAUACUUGAAAAUAAUGUAAUAAGAAGAAAAUCAUUAGUAAUUUUUAAACAUAAAAUUGUAUUUAUUAAAUAUUAUUGACUUAUUUUUUUAUUUUAGUUGGUAAACAGAAAACUUAGAUACAAAUUGAACAACUACAAAAUAUAUGGACCUUAAUUAUAAAAAAUAGUCUUCAACAGAAUGCGGGGGAAUGGUUUUAAUUUUUUAGGCAGCGGCUCAUCUUCCUCGUAAUCAGACAUGGAAUCACUUUCCAUCACCUGACCACCCAGAAAAUAUGAACUUGUUGCUUGAAUUCUACUCUCAUCUUCAGCGCACACCAGGUGAACCCCACAACUCUUCACCUUCAUUUUCACAUUUACUUCUUUCUUACCAGAAAAUUUUUCUGCUUUGAAUUCAAAUGAGGCUUCAUUGACUCUAUAACAGUUCCGUAUGAGCCAGAUACUUAGAUCUCGAGUGGUUCGGUGGUCGUACCAAAGAUACACAUAAUCUGAUCCAAAGCGAGGCUCGUGAUCAGAUCUAAAAUAAGUGAUGAAAUACUUUUUGUAUCCAUUUGUGGUUUUGAAACAACAUUUACAUGAAACCCUGAGAUCAAAAUCAUAAUAUUCCUCGCUGUUGAUAGCAGGAAUCUCAUACUCCACAACAACGCAAAAAGCAAAUCUAGAAAUGUAGAAAUAACCCAAGAUGGAAGGAGCAUUUCAGCAUUUAGUGAAGACCCUUGGCUUUGAAAGCUGAACCACUCUGGAAUUUCACUUCCACAUAAAGUGAGAUCAAAAUGAAGAAAAGAGGUUAUCAUAUCCUGACUCCUUCUGAC